UCAAAUGUUAAUUAGACAGGGUCAUUCCUUGCCUAUUCAACUGGUAUAAUCUGUAUACUCAUUUUUCAUAAAUUUGAGACUUUUGAGUCUUAAUGUGCUGCAGGUUGACCUAACAGAAUAUUUGGAGAAACAUGAAUUUGUAUUUGAUGCUGUACUAAACGAAGAAGUGUCAAAUGAUGAGGUAUAUCAUGAAACUGUAGAGCCUAUCAUUCCCAUAAUUUUCCAACGUACGAAAGCUACUUGCUUUGCUUAUGGGCAAACAGGAAGUGGCAAAACAUAUACAAUGAAGCCACUGCCCCUUAGAGCAGUGAGAGACAUCUUGAGGCUCAUUCAUCAUACCUACAGGAACCAAGGCUUUCAGUUGUUUGUCAGCUUCUUUGAGAUAUAUGGGGGGAAACUCUUCGAUCUGCUCAGUGAUAGGAAGUAAGCUGUUUUCUGGGUUUUUUGUUGGCUUUCACCCUCCAGUGCAAUCUCAACUAGUUCUUGAGGACUUGGUGCUAGAACACAUAAUAUGAUAGAUUUUUGUUUUAGCUAUAAGAUAGUUGGUACUUUCAAUUUUGAAUCGAAAUAUGCAAUGAUCAUAUGUACUUGAUACUUGGUUCAUUUGGAUGGUAAUGUAUGAAUAUUUUGGAUGAUAUAUAAUAUUGUUA